CCUACGGGAGGCAGCAGUGAGGAAUAUUGGUCAAUGGGCGAGAGCCUGAACCAGCCAAGUCGCGUGAGGGAGUACUGCCCUAUGGGUUGUAAACCUCUUUUGUCGGGGAGCAAAGGCCGGACGUGUUCGCCUGUGAGAGUUACCUAAGGAAAAACAUUCGCUAACUCCGUUCCCGCGGCCGCCGUAAAAGGGGGGAUGCGGGCGUUAUCCGGGUUUUUUGGGGUUAAAGGGGUCGCCGGCGGGUUUUUAAGUUAGCGGGUAAAGCGUGGGGGUAAACCCCAUCGAGCCGUUGAAACUGGGGGGCUAGAGUUGGAGAGAGGUAGGCGGAAUGCGUGGUGUAGCGGUGAAAUGCAUAGAUAUCACGCAGAACCCCGAUUGCGAAGGCAGCAUACCGGUUCACAACUGACGUUGAGGCACGAAAGCGUGGGUAUCGAACAGGAUUAGAUACCCUUGUAGUC
rnacentral:rRNA from 1 species